AUUCCAGCUCCAAUAGCGUAUAUUAAAGUUGUUGCAGUUAAAAAGCUCGUAGUUGGAUUUCUGGCGGGAGUCCGGGUCGGCCUUAACGGGUUGCACUGUUGUGACGUCUCGCCGUUUCGAGGGGAAUGGGCUCGCUAUUAGGUUAGUGUGUUCGGGAACCUCGUCGUUUACUGUGAAAAAAUUAGAGUGUUCAAAGCAGGCCUUUGCUGUGAAUACAUUAGCAUGGAAUAAUAAGAUAGGACUGUAGUGCUAUUUUGUUGGUUUGCGUACUAUGGUAAUGAUUAAUAGGGAUAGUUGGGGGUAUUCAUAUUCAAUUGUCAGAGGUGAAAUUCUUGGAUUUAUGGAAGAUGAACUACUGCGAAAGCAUUUACCAAGGACGUUUUCAUUG
rnacentral:rRNA from 1 species